AACGCUACGGUGAAUUCGAUCCCGGGGCUUGUACACACCGCCCGUCAGAUUACGGAAGUCGGUAACACCCGCAGUCAGUGGCCCAACCGUAAGGGGGGAGCUGCCGAAGGUGGGAUCGGUGAUUGGGACGAAGUCGUAACAAGGUAGCCGUACCGGAAGGUGCGGCUGGAACACCUCCUUU
rnacentral:ncRNA from 1 species